UGCUUCUGGUUUUGACGGCAUGCAUCUAAAAUUGGAACAAUUACAGAGAUUAGUAUGGCUCCUAUGUAAGGAUGACAUAUAAAUUCUUGAACCAUUCCACAUUUUA
ensembl:snRNA U6 U6 spliceosomal RNA